rnacentral:rRNA from 1 species
AACGCGAAGAACCUUACCAGGUCUUGACAUCCUUUGACAACCCUAGAGAUAGGGUUUCUCCUUCGGGAGCAGAGUGACAGGUGGUGCAUGGUUGUCGUCAGCUCGUGUCGUGAGAUGUUGGGUUAAGUCCCGCAACGAGCGCAACCCUUGAUUUUAGUUGCCAUCAUUUAGUUGGGCACUCUAAGGUGACUGCCGGUGACAAACCGGAGGAAGGUGGGGAUGACGUCAAAUCAUCAUGCCCCUUAUGACCUGGGCUACACACGUGCUACAAUGGACGGUACAAAGAGCUGCAAGACCGCGAGGUGGAGCUAAUCUCAUAAAACCGUUCUCAGUUCGGAUUGUAGGCUGCAACUCGCCUACAUGAAGCUGGAAUCGCUAGUAAUCGCGGAUCAGCAUGCCGCGGUGAAUACGUUCCCGGGCCUUGUACACACCGCCCGU